GAAAAGAGUUCACGUGAGAGCCCUGACCCAAAGGUCAGGCCCUUCCCAGCCAAACCGGCCUCUCUCAGUAGAAACGCUUGUUCCGCUCCUGGCGCUUCUGAAACACCACGGCGCCCACCACAGCACAGACGAUGAUGCCCAGGAGGGCGCAGAGCAGCAGCAGGAACACCCUCCACCCCGUCAGGGGCCCACCUCGGAAGUUUCCAGUGGGGUCAUCCACAUUGUCUACGGAGAAAAAUGUACAAGCGUGAAGGGGCUGCCUCACAACUGGCUCUGUGACCUGGACAGGCAGGCACUCCAGCCGCCAGGGCAGCACUGGUAAAGGGCAAGGGUCAGAAGAACUCUACUCAACUCUGAGGCAGUACUCCGCCGGCGGUCCCCAACAAGCAGCUUAGCCUUGCAGUGUAAUGUGGCCUGUCACUCAAUGCUCAGUCCCUUACCAAGCCAUCAGGGGCAGAGCUAGACAUGGAGUGGACACUUUGGAGAUGGCAGCCAUCAAUGAGUGAACAGAACCACCAACCCCCAUAUCAGCUGGCCCCUGGGGAUGCAGGUGGGGUGAAGCCAUUGGCAUAGCUGGGAGCAGCAACCAGAACUGACCAAAUGUGCCAUGUGGCAGGACCAACAGAGCUCCAAAAUCUUAAAGAUGGGCUGGAAGGAUAGCUCAGGAGUUGAGUACAUACUGAGCCAAGUUCGCUUCCCAACACCCACGUUGGAGGCUCACAACUGCCGUAACUGCAGCUCCCGCCGGUGGACCCACCAGGCCUGGGAGCUACACCUGUAAUUCCCACACCCAGAGGAGAGGCAGGAGACUCAGGCCAGCAUCACCGUCAGCUCUACAGUGAGCUCAAGGCCAGCCUGGGAGGGCUCCACAAAAUAGAAUAUAAAGUGAAAUGUCCUAUU
rnacentral:lncRNA from 1 species